UUUACGUAUUACGUACUACGUAGAGCGUUGUGUCUGAACACUCUUCCGUUCCCAGCUACGUAACUCGGAGCGUAAAAACGUUAUACGUAGUACGUAAAACGCUCAAAAAGGCUGUAGUCUGAACGUGGCUUUACAGACACACAGGCAUACAGGCAUACGUUUACGGAAAAUCGCUAGUGUAGAUUGAACGGAAUAAGCUUUCCGUAUGCCUGUAUCGAGUCUGUAUGUAUGUAUGACCGAAACUUGUCUUUAAAAACUGCUAGUAUAGACGUACCUUUACCUAUUAUUUUACGUUCAAGUGUCUCAGUCUGGAGUCAAUGUUAUGAAGUAGUGCUUGGAUGACGUGUACAAGCCGGCAGAUUCAUUUAUUGGUUGCAAGCAAUUAUGAACAUUUUUAUACUAGUGCUCUUGCUAUGAGUUUUCACACCCUGCUUUAAAUUAUCUGAUCAAAUGGUGUAAUAAAGUUAUAUUGAAACAA